rnacentral:rRNA from 1 species
UUGGAGGGCAAGUCUGGUGCCAGCAGCCGCGGUAAUUCCAGCUCCAAUAGCGUAUAUUAAAGUUGUUGCAGUUAAAAAGCUCGUAGUUGAAUUUCGAGACCGGUCUACUGGUCGUGCUUUUGUACGUACUAGUAUAAUCGGUUUCUCUCUUCUGACGAACUAUAAUGCCAUUAAUUUGGUGUUUUAGGGAAUCAGGACUGUUACUUUGAAAAAAUUAGAGUGUUUAAAGCAGGCUAACGCCUGAAUACAUUAGCAUGGAAUAAUGAAAUAGGACGUUCGAUCCUAUUUUGUUGGUUUCUAGGAUUGACGUAAUGAUUAAUAGGGAUAGUUGGGGGCAUUAGUAUUCAAUUGUCAGAGGUGAAAUUCUUGGAUUUAUUGAAGACUAACUACUGCGAAAGCAUUUGCCAAGGAUGUUUUCAUUAAUCAAGAACGAAAGUUAGGGGAUCGAAGACGAUCAGAUACCGUCGUAGUCUUAACCAUAAACUAUGCCGACUAGGGAUCGGAUGAUGUUAAUUUUUUAAUGACUCAUUCGGCGCCUUACGGGAAACCAAAGUGUUUGGGUUC